rnacentral:rRNA from 1 species
GAUCACGUGAGAAACGUGCCCCAGACUCUGGGAUAACAAUUGGAAACGAUUGCUAAUACCGGAUGACGUCGGAGAAUCGCAUGAUUCACUGACGAAAGAUAUUUCGGUUUGGGAGCGUCUCGCGGCCUAUCAGCUUGUUGGUGGGGUAAUGGCCUACCAAGGCAACGACGGGUAGCUGGUCUGAGAGGAUGAUCAGCCACACUGGGACUGAGACACGGCCCAGACUCCUACGGGAGGCAGCAGUGGGGAAUCUUGCGCAAUGGGCGAAAGCCUGACGCAGCAACGCCGCGUGCGGGAUGAAGGCCUUCGGGCUGUAAACCGCUUUCAGCAGGAACGAAAAUGACGGUACCUGCAGAAGAAGGAGCGGCCAACUACGUGCCAGCAGCCGCGGUGACACGUAGGCUCCAAGCGUUGUCCGGAUUUAUUGGGCGUAAAGAGCUCGUAGGCGGUUGAGUAAGUCGGGUGUGAAAACUCUGGGCUUAACCCGGAGACGCCAUCCGAUACUGCUCUGACUAGAGUUCAGGAGGGGAGUGGGGAAUUCCUAGUGUAGCGGUGAAAUGCGCAGAUAUUAGGAGGAACACCGGUGGCGAAGGCGCCACUCUGGACUGAAACUGACGCUGAGGAGCGAAAGCAUGGGUAGCAAACAGGAUUAGAUACCCUGGUAGUCCAUGCCGUAAACGGUGGGCACUAGGUGUGGGUUCCAACUAACGGGAUCCGCGCCGUCGCU